rnacentral:rRNA from 1 species
GAUGAACGCUGGCGGCGUGCCUAAUACAUGCACGUCGAGCGAACAGACGAGGAGCUUGCUCCUCUGACGUUAGCGGCGGACGGGUGAGUAACACGUGGAUAACCUACCUAUAAGACUGGGAUAACUUCGGGAAACCGGAGCUAAUACCGGAUAAUAAAUUGAACCGCAUGGUUCAAUAGUGAAAGACGGUUUUGCUGUCACUUAUAGAUGGAUCCGCGCCGCAUUAGCUAGUUGGUAAGGUAACGGCUUACCAAGGCAACGAUGCGUAGCCGACCUGAGAGGGUGAUCGGCCACACUGGAACUGAGACACGGUCCAGACUCCUACGGGAGGCAGCAGUAGGGAAUCUUCCGCAAUGGGCGAAAGCCUGACGGAGCAACGCCGCGUGAGUGAUGAAGGUCUUCGGAUCGUAAAACUCUGUUAUUAGGGAAGAACAAAUGUGUAAGUAACUAUGCACGUCUUGACGGUACCUAAUCAGAAAGCCACGGCUAACUACGUG